rfam:Bacillus anthracis str. 'Ames Ancestor', complete genome.
GGUUAAGUUAGAAAGGGCGCACGGUGGAUGCCUUGACACUAGGAGUCGAUGAAGGACGGGACUAACGCCGAUAUGCUUCGGGGAGCUGUAAGUAAGCUUUGAUCCGAAGAUUUCCGAAUGGGGAAACCCACCAUACGUAAUGGUAUGGUAUCCUUAUCUGAAUACAUAGGAUAAGGAAGACAGACCCAGGGAACUGAAACAUCUAAGUACCUGGAGGAAGAGAAAGCAAAUGCGAUUUCCUGAGUAGCGGCGAGCGAAACGGAACAUAGCCCAAACCAAGAGGCUUGCCUCUUGGGGUUGUAGGACAUUCUAUACGGAGUUACAAAGGAACGAGGUAGACGAAGCGACCUGGAAAGGUCCGUCGUAGAGGGUAACAACCCCGUAGUCGAAACUUCGUUCUCUCUUGAAUGUAUCCUGAGUACGGCGGAACACGUGAAAUUCCGUCGGAAUCUGGGAGGACCAUCUCCCAAGGCUAAAUACUCCCUAGUGAUCGAUAGUGAACCAGUACCGUGAGGGAAAGGUGAAAAGCACCCCGGAAGGGGAGUGAAAGAGAUCCUGAAACCGUGUGCCUACAAAUAGUCAGAGCCCGUUAACGGGUGAUGGCGUGCCUUUUGUAGAAUGAACCGGCGAGUUACGAUCCCGUGCGAGGUUAAGCUGAAGAGGCGGAGCCGCAGCGAAAGCGAGUCUGAAUAGGGCGUUUAGUACGUGGUCGUAGACCCGAAACCAGGUGAUCUACCCAUGUCCAGGGUGAAGUUCAGGUAACACUGAAUGGAGGCCCGAACCCACGCACGUUGAAAAGUGCGGGGAUGAGGUGUGGGUAGCGGAGAAAUUCCAAUCGAACCUGGAGAUAGCUGGUUCUCCCCGAAAUAGCUUUAGGGCUAGCCUUAAGUGUAAGAGUCUUGGAGGUAGAGCACUGAUUGGACUAGGGGUCCUCAUCGGAUUACCGAAUUCAGUCAAACUCCGAAUGCCAAUGACUUAUCCUUAGGAGUCAGACUGCGAGUGAUAAGAUCCGUAGUCAAAAGGGAAACAGCCCAGACCGCCAGCUAAGGUCCCAAAGUGUGUAUUAAGUGGAAAAGGAUGUGGAGUUGCUUAGACAACUAGGAUGUUGGCUUAGAAGCAGCCACCAUUUAAAGAGUGCGUAAUAGCUCACUAGUCGAGUGACUCUGCGCCGAAAAUGUACCGGGGCUAAAUACACCACCGAAGCUGCGGAUUGAUACCAAUGGUAUCAGUGGUAGGGGAGCGUUCUAAGGACAGUGAAGUCAGACCGGAAGGACUGGUGGAGUGCUUAGAAGUGAGAAUGCCGGUAUGAGUAGCGAAAGACGGGUGAGAAUCCCGUCCACCGAAUGCCUAAGGUUUCCUGAGGAAGGCUCGUCCGCUCAGGGUUAGUCAGGACCUAAGCCGAGGCCGACAGGCGUAGGCGAUGGACAACAGGUUGAUAUUCCUGUACCACCUCUUUAUCGUUUGAGCAAUGGAGGGACGCAGAAGGAUAGAAGAAGCGUGCGAUUGGUUGUGCACGUCCAAGCAGUUAGGCUGAUAAGUAGGCAAAUCCGCUUAUCGUGAAGGCUGAGCUGUGAUGGGGAAGCUCCUUAUGGAGCGAAGUCUUUGAUUCCCCGCUGCCAAGAAAAGCUUCUAGCGAGAUAAAAGGUGCCUGUACCGCAAACCGACACAGGUAGGCGAGGAGAGAAUCCUAAGGUGUGCGAGAGAACUCUGGUUAAGGAACUCGGCAAAAUGACCCCGUAACUUCGGGAGAAGGGGUGCUUUCUUAACGGAAAGCCGCAGUGAAUAGGCCCAAGCGACUGUUUAGCAAAAACACAGCUCUCUGCGAAGCCGUAAGGCGAAGUAUAGGGGGUGACACCUGCCCGGUGCUGGAAGGUUAAGGAGAGGGGUUAGCGUAAGCGAAGCUCUGAACUGAAGCCCCAGUAAACGGCGGCCGUAACUAUAACGGUCCUAAGGUAGCGAAAUUCCUUGUCGGGUAAGUUCCGACCCGCACGAAAGGUGUAACGAUUUGGGCACUGUCUCAACCAGAGACUCGGUGAAAUUAUAGUACCUGUGAAGAUGCAGGUUACCCGCGACAGGACGGAAAGACCCCGUGGAGCUUUACUGUAGCCUGAUAUUGAAUUUUGGUACAGUUUGUACAGGAUAGGCGGGAGCCUUUGAAACCGGAGCGCUAGCUUCGGUGGAGGCGCUGGUGGGAUACCGCCCUGACUGUAUUGAAAUUCUAACCUACGGGUCUUAUCGACCCGGGAGACAGUGUCAGGUGGGCAGUUUGACUGGGGCGGUCGCCUCCUAAAGUGUAACGGAGGCGCCCAAAGGUUCCCUCAGAAUGGUUGGAAAUCAUUCGUAGAGUGCAAAGGCAUAAGGGAGCUUGACUGCGAGACCUACAAGUCGAGCAGGGACGAAAGUCGGGCUUAGUGAUCCGGUGGUUCCGCAUGGAAGGGCCAUCGCUCAACGGAUAAAAGCUACCCCGGGGAUAACAGGCUUAUCUCCCCCAAGAGUCCACAUCGACGGGGAGGUUUGGCACCUCGAUGUCGGCUCAUCGCAUCCUGGGGCUGUAGUCGGUCCCAAGGGUUGGGCUGUUCGCCCAUUAAAGCGGUACGCGAGCUGGGUUCAGAACGUCGUGAGACAGUUCGGUCCCUAUCCGUCGUGGGCGUAGGAAAUUUGAGAGGAGCUGUCCUUAGUACGAGAGGACCGGGAUGGACGCACCGCUGGUGUACCAGUUGUUCUGCCAAGGGCAUAGCUGGGUAGCUAUGUGCGGAAGGGAUAAGUGCUGAAAGCAUCUAAGCAUGAAGCCCCCCUCAAGAUGAGAUUUCCCAUAGCGUAAGCUAGUAAGAUCCCUGAAAGAUGAUCAGGUUGAUAGGUUCGAGGUGGAAGCAUGGUGACAUGUGGAGCUGACGAAUACUAAUAGAUCGAGGACUUAACCAU